rnacentral:lncRNA from 1 species
GAAAUUACUAUCCAAUUUCCUACGAAACUCACAAAUCAUUAUUUUUAAUCUUUAAUAUUCGUAUUAUAAAAUUUUAAAACACUGAAACAAAAAUAUUAUAUGUAACUUAUAUCAUAAUAAAUAAUUUAUGUAAUAGUUUAUAAUGUUAUUUUAAAAAUCUUUAUAUUGGGUUCUCUUGGGCUUUCAGUUCAAGUCCAUUAGCUAAAGCACAACCCUAAAUACAUAUAUAAAGGAAAAAUUAGUAAAUUAGGGUUUUCACAAAUAAUAAAAGCCGCUUCUUCCUCUUCUUUAGUUCAACGCUUCUUCUUUAUUUCUUCUUCAUGUUUCUAUCUUUCUUCUUCAUUUUGGUUCGAUGUUGCUAUUUUGCUACAAUCUAAAGAUACCCCUUUUUGCUAACUAUGAAGUCAGGUAUACCUUUUUUUGCAUCUCUCUCCUCCUGAUCUAUUAUUUUCUGAUUUUAUAGCAAAGAUUUCAAAGAAAAAGAAGAUCUUGGCAAAUCCGCUGGUUUCUCUAUCCCACCGCCACCGCCACCGCUUCACCUUAUCCCACCGCCACCGCUUCACCUUAUCCUACCGCCACCGCCACUGCCAUUCCUCCGCUGUCUUUUAACUACAACGCAGCUUUUCUAAUUGAUGAAAUCCAGAUUGCUAAAGAAAAGGCACAAGAGAUCUCUACUCAAUAGUGUUGAUAAUGGUGCUUCUUAUGAUUAUAGUGACAUAUCUAGUAUUUAGCUCAUCUGGUUUGUUCUUUCAAAGAGAAGAUGUAUUGAAAGCAACGAUGUUUGUCUAUUUUGGUUUAGGUUGAUAUUGUAGAUAUUUAAUUUUGAUUUCUAAUCUUAACCGAUUUGAUCCGUUUGUAUUUAGAAUUCUUUACUAUUUUAAAAGAAAAAGAAUUGUAUUUUUGUUUAAUAAAUUUGAAUAAAAACUACAAAUUUUAAUAGUCGGAUUUAUUUACAUUAAUUAUAAAUUUUACUUUUAUUUCGAAAUUAAUCUAAUUAUUGUAAAUUAAUUUCAUUAAUUUUAUAUUUUAUCAUUUUCGUAGGAAAAUAGUGAGAGUUAUUUGGUAGGAAAGUGGAAGAAACAUAUUUACUACAACUAUUUUGGAAGGAAAAUGGUAAAUAAAAUUCCUUCUAUUUUCCUACGAAAUUUCCUACCCAAAAUAUUUUGAAGGUUUUUGGUAGGAAAUUUCCUACGAAAUUAUGACCAGGAACGAUUUCCUACGAAUAUUUUUAUAGGAAAAUGGAAAGAAAUACCGUUUUCCUACCAAAUUCCUACGAUAUUUGCGGUAGGAAAUCGAUCUUUUUCUUGUAGUGACAUGUUCCUAAGAUUAGAUCAUUCAUGUAAUGAUGUACACACCACUACCACCAAAGAUGGCCUUAUUCGAAAAGCUUAUGAUGUAGGAUUAUUAGGAUUAAAAGCUUAUUCGAAAAACUUGCAAGAAUAAUUGGAUUCAAGAAUCACAUACUUACAUGAUUUAAGAGUCAUACCUUGUUUCAGAAGAGGGAAGACACUUACCUAAUCAAAUGAGGGAAAGAUUAGUCUGCACGUUAG